rnacentral:rRNA from 1 species
UACGUAGGGUGCGAGCGUUGCCCGGAUUUAUUGGGCGUAAAGGGCGCGUAGGCGGCCACGCACGUCCGUUGUGAAAUCGCUCGGCUCAACUGGGCGGGGUCAGCGGAUACGGUGUGGCUAGAGCAAGCUAGGGGGCAAUGGAAUUCCCGGUGUAGUGGUGGAAUGCGUAGAUAUCGGGAGGAACACCAGUGGCGAAGGCGGUUGCCUGGAGCUUUGCUGACGCUGAGACGCGAAAGCGUGGGGAGCGAACAGG